rnacentral:tRNA from 1 species
AAAAAUGAAAUCAUUUGAUAUUUCACUUACAAUGAAAAUUUGUCUUUAGACCAUUUUUU